ensembl:lncRNA
GUUGGGUUUAGGGGUUGGGGUUAGGUUUAGGGUUAGGUUUAGGGGUUAAGUGUUAGGGUUAGGGGUUUAGGGUUAGGUUUAGGGGUUUAGGGUUAGGUUUAGGGGUUAAGUGUUAAGGGUUAAGUUUAGGGGUUAAGUGUUAAGCUUAGGGGUUAAGUGUUAGGGUUAGGGGUUUAGGGUUAGGUUUAGGGGUUAAGUGUUAGGUUUAGGGGUUAAGUGUUAGGUUUAGGGGUUAAGUGUUAAGUUUAGGGGUUAAGAGUUAGUGUUAGACAUUCAUGCCCACAAACAACAAACCUGUAAGAAUCAAGAGACCUGUUUGCCUUCGGUUUCUAUUCGACGUGUAGCCUAAACUGUACAUGUCCCGUCACUGCACUGCGUCAGAGCACGGCUUAGCCGAUCCCUGUCCCUAGUUCUAAUCCAUAAAAAUACAUGAAUAACAUUUGAUGUCAGGUCCAUUCCUAAAUAAAAUUCUUGAUCAAUUCUGCAGACAGAUU